rnacentral:misc_RNA from 1 species
GAUGAAGAACGUAGCGAAAUGCGAAAAGUAAUGUGAAUUGCAGAAUUCAGUGAAUCAUCGAAUCUUUGAACGCACAUUGCGCCCGCCAGUAUUCUGGCGGGCAUGCCUGUUCGAGCGUCAUUACAACCCUCAGGCCCCCGGGCCUGGCGUUGGGGAUCGGCGGAAGCCCCCUGCGGGCACAACGCCGUCCCCCAAAUACAGUGGCGGUCCCGCCGCAGCUUCCAUUGCGUAGUAGCUAACACCUCGCAACUGGAGAGCGGCGAGGCCACGCCGUAAAACACCCAACUUCUGAAUGUUGACCUCGAAUCAGGUAGGAAUACCCGCUGAACUUAAGCAUAUCAAUAAGCGGAGGA